UACGUAGGGGGCCAGCGUUGCUCGGAAUUACUGGGCGUAAAGGGCGCGUAGGCGGCUGUGACAGUCAGAUGUGAAAUUCCUGGGCUCAACCUGGGGGCUGCAUUUGAUACGUGAUGGCUGGAGUGGGGAAGAGGGUCGUGGAAUUCCCAGUGUAGAGGUGAAAUGCGUAGAUAUCGGGAGGAACACCAGUGGCGAAGGCGAUCAUCUGGGACUAACCUGACGCUGAGGAGCGAAAGCCAGGGGAGCAAACGGG
rnacentral:rRNA from 1 species